GGGGGAACUGAAACAUCUAAGUACCCCGAGGAAAAGAAAUCAACCGAGAUUCCCCCAGUAGCGGCGAGCGAACGGGGAGCAGCCCAGAGCCUGAAUCAGUGUGUGUGUUAGUGGAAGCGUCUGGAAAGGCGCGCGAUACAGGGUGACAGCCCCGUACACAAAAAUGCACAUGCUGUGAGCUCGAUGAGUAGGGCGGGACACGUGGUAUCCUGUCUGAAUAUGGGGGGACCAUCCUCCAAGGCUAAAUACUCCUGACUGACCGAUAGUGAACCAGUACCGUGAGGGAAAGGCGAAAAGAACCCCGGCGAGGGGAGUGAAAAAGAACCUGAAACCGUGUACGUACAAGCAGUGGGAGCACGCUUAGGCGUGUGACUGCGUACCUUUUGUAUAAUGGGUCAGCGACUUAUAUUCUGUAGCAAGGUUAACCGAAUAGGGGAGCCGAAGGGAAACCGAGUCUUAACUGGGCGUUAAGUUGCAGGGUAUAGACCCGAAACCCGGUGAUCUAGCCAUGGGCAGGUUGAAGGUUGGGUAACACUAACUGGAGGACCGAACCGACUAAUGUUGAAAAAUUAGCGGAUGACUUGUGGCUGGGGGUGAAAGGCCAAUCAAACCGGGAGAUAGCUGGUUCUCCC
rnacentral:rRNA from 1 species